rnacentral:rRNA from 1 species
AACGAACGCUGGCGGCGUGCCUAACACAUGCAAGUCGAACGUGAAAGUCCUUCGGGAUGAGUAAAGUGGCGCACGGGUGAGUAAUGCGUAGAUAAUCUGCCUGGUGAUCUGGGAUAACAUCUCGAAAGGGGUGCUAAUACCGGAUAAGCCCACGGGGUCUUCGGAUCUUGCGGGAAAAGGGGGGGACCUUCGGGCCUUCUGUCAUCAGAUGAGUCUACGUACCAUUAGCUAGUUGGUAGGGUAAAGGCCUACCAAGGCGACGAUGGUUAGCUGGUCUGAGAGGAUGAUCAGCCACACUGGAACUGAGACACGGUCCAGACUCCUACGGGAGGCAGCAGUGGGGAAUUUUGCGCAAUGGGGGAAACCCUGACGCAGCAACGCCGCGUGAGUGAUGAAGGCCUUCGGGUCGUAAAGCUCUGUCAGAGGGAAAGAAAUGUGGGGCGCUAAUACCGCUACCACUUGACGGUACCCUCAAAGGAAGCACCGGCUAACUCCGUGCCAGCAGCCGCGGUAAUACGGAGGGUGCGAGCGUUGUUCGGAAUUAUUGGGCGUAAAGCGCGUGUAGGCGGUUUUAUAAGUCUGAUGUGAAAGCCCCGGGCUCAACCUGGGAAGUGCAUUGGAUACUGUAAGACUUGAGUACGGGAGAGGGCAGUGGAAUUCCUAGUGUAGGAGUGAAAUCCGUAGAUAUUAGGAGGAACACCGGUGGCGAAGGCGGCUGCCUGGACCGAUACUGACGCUGAGACGCGAAAGCGUGGGUAGCAAACAGGAUUAGAUACCCUGGUAGUCCACGCCGUAAACGAUGAGUACUAGGUGUUGCGGGUAUUGACCCCUGCAGUGCCGCAGCUAACGCAUUAAGUACUCCGCCUGGGAAGUACGGUCGCAAGACUAA